rnacentral:piRNA from 1 species
UGCUGUACGGAAUGCUGCCCUUAACAC